GCUUCCCUGGCUCAGUUGGUUAGAGCGCCAGUCUCAUAUUAUGUGAAGGAUCUAGGAUCUUACAAUCUGGAGGUCAUGAGUUCGACCCUCAUGGGGAGCA